CCUACGGGCGGCAGCAGUGGGGAAUAUUGCGCAAUGGGCGAAAGCCUGACGCAGCGACGCCGCGUGAGGGAUGAAGGUCUUCGGAUCGUAAACCUCUGUCAGCGGGGAAGAACGGUCACUGUGCUAAUCAGCAAGGAAUUGACGGUACCUGCAAAGGAAGCACCGGCUAACUCCGUGCCAGCAGCCGCGGUAAUACGGAGGGUGCGAGCGUUAAUCGGAAUUACUGGGCGUAAAGCGCGCGUAGGCGGUCUGUUAAGUCAAGGGUGAAAUCCCCGGGCUCAACGUGGGAACUGCCUUUGAAACUGGCAGACUUGAGUGUGUGAGAGGAUAGUGGAAUUCCAGGUGUAGGGGUGAAAUGCGUAGAGAUCUGGAGGAACAUCAGUGGCGAAGGCGACUAUCUGGACCAUAACUGACGCUGAGGAGCGAAAGCGUGGGUAGCAAACAGGAUUAGAUACCCGAGUAGUC
rnacentral:rRNA from 1 species